rnacentral:rRNA from 1 species
GAUGAACGCUGGCGGCGUGCCUAAUACAUGCAAGUCGAGCGAACAGACGAGGAGCUUGCUCCUCUGACGUUAGCGGCGGACGGGUGAGUAACACGUGGAUAACCUACCUAUAAGACUGGGAUAACUUCGGGAAACCGGAGCUAAUACCGGAUAAUAUAUUGAACCGCAUGGUUCAAUAGUGAAAGACGGUUUUGCUGUCACUUAUAGAUGGAUCCGCGCCGCAUUAGCUAGUUGGUAAGGUAACGGCUUACCAACGCGACGAUGCGUAGCCGACCUGAGAGGGUGAUCGGCCACACUGGAACUGAGACACGGUCCAGACUCCUACGGGAGGCAGCAGUAGGGAAUCUUCCGCAAUGGGCGAAAGCCUGACGGAGCAACGCCGCGUGAGUGAUGAAGGUCUUCGGAUCGUAAAACUCUGUUAUUAGGGAAGAACAAAUGUGUAAGUAACUAUGCACGUCUUGACGGUACCUAAUCAGAAAGCCACGGCUAACUACGUG